rnacentral:rRNA from 1 species
UUCGRUUCCGGAGAGGGAGCCUGAGAAACGGCUACCASAUCUAMGGAWKGCAGCAGGCGCGUAAAUUACCCAAUCCUGAUUCAGGGAGGUAGUGACAAGAAAUAUCAACCUGGAGAGAUUUGCUCUUCGGAUAGAAAUGAGUUUAACCUAAAAACUUAUCCGAACUCCAUUGGAGGGCAAGUCUGGUGCCAGCAGCCGCGGUAAUUCCAGCUCCAAUAGCGUAUAUUAAAGUUGUUGCAGUUAAAAAGCUCGCAGUUGAAUGUCUGGCCCAUUUGAUUUCAUGGCUUUAGUCGKGAGUCAAGUGAGUCAUCAAUCACCGAACCUUGUUGGUCCUUAACCGGGCUGACUAGGAGAGUUGAUACUUUACCUUGAAAAAAUUARAGUGUGUAAGGCAGGCAAUCGCCUGAAUAGAUUAGCAUGGAAUAAUGGAAUACGACAUUUUUGCUAUUUUGUUGGUUAUUUGACUGAAGUAAUGAUUAAUARGGACAGUUGGGGGCAUUURUAUUUGAUAGCCARAAGKGAAAUUUCUUGACUUAUCWAARACUAACUUAUGCCAAAGCMUUUGCCAAGGAUGUUUUCAUUAAUCAAGAACSAAAGUUAAGGGAUCAAAGACSAUCARA